rnacentral:rRNA from 1 species
GCUCAGAUUGAACGCUGGCGGCAUGCCUUACACAUGCAAGUCGAACGGUAACAGGUCUUCGGAUGCUGACGAGUGGCGAACGGGUGAGUAAUACAUCGGAACGUGCCCGAUCGUGGGGGAUAACGGAGCGAAAGCUUUGCUAAUACCGCAUACGAUCUACGGAUGAAAGCAGGGGACCGCAAGGCCUUGCGCGGACGGAGCGGCCGAUGGCAGAUUAGGUAGUUGGUGGGAUAAAAGCUUACCAAGCCGACGAUCUGUAGCUGGUCUGAGAGGACGACCAGCCACACUGGGACUGAGACACGGCCCAGACUCCUACGGGAGGCAGCAGUGGGGAAUUUUGGACAAUGGGCGAAAGCCUGAUCCAGCCAUGCCGCGUGCAGGAUGAAGGCCUUCGGGUUGUAAACUGCUUUUGUACGGAACGAAAAAGCUCUUUCUAAUAAAGGGGGCUCAUGACGGUACCGUAAGAAUAAGCACCGGCUAACUACGUGCCAGCAGCCGCGGUAAUACGUAGGGUGCAAGCGUUAAUCGGAAUUACUGGGCGUAAAGCGUGCGCAGGCGGUUAUGCAAGACAGAUGUGAAAUCCCCGGGCUCAACCUGGGAACUGCAUUUGUGACUGCAUAGCUAGAGUACGGUAGAGGGGGAUGGAAUUCCGCGUGUAGCAGUGAAAUGCGUAGAUAUGCGGAGGAACACCGAUGGCGAAGGCAAUCCCCNGGAC